AGGACGAACGCUGGCGGCGCGCUUAAUACAUGCAAGUCGAGCGAGAACCGGACCUUCGGGUCCGGGGAAAGCGGCGAACGGGUGAGUAACACGUGGGUAAUCUGCCCUCGGUACUGGGAUAGCCCGGGGAAACCCGGAUUAAUACCGGAUAGCCUUUCGAGCUCUCGGGCUCGUUAGAAAAUGGUGGCUUCGGCUUCCGACUGAGGAUGAGCCCGCGGCGGAUUAGCUUGUUGGUGAGGUAAUGGCUCACCAAGGCUCCGAUCCGUAGCUGGUCUGAGAGGACGAUCAGCCAACACUGGGACUGAGACACGGCCCAGACCUCCGUACGGGAGCAGCAGGUAGGGAAUCGUUGCGCAAGUGGACGAAAGCCUGACGCAGCGACGCCGCGUGACGGAAGACGGCCGUUCGGGUUACGUAAACCGUCGUUACGAGGAGGACG
rnacentral:rRNA from 1 species